UCUGGGUGCUUGUUCAAUUUGUACCUAUAUAAUGUAUAGUAUUACAAUAUUGUAAUAAAACAACGCGCACAGUCUUCUCCCGGCGGAGUGACGGAGUGAUAAUAACGACAGUAAUAAAAUUCUCCAGUCCGCAAAAAACGUGCGAAAUGAUUUCGUCGACGUUUUACAUAACGUUGGUGUUCGGUAUUGCGAUGCUGAUUUCAUGUGGCCACGGGCGAUUUACGACGGAGCAAAUCGAUUAUUAUGGAAAAGCGUGCAACGCCAGCGAAGAUGACCUCGUCGUAGUCAAAUCCUACAAGGUGCCAACUACAGAAACUGGAAAGUGUCUGAUGAAAUGCAUGAUCACCAAACUAGGACUGCUGAACGACGAUGGUUCGUACAACAAAACUGGCAUGGAAGCGGGGUUAAAGAAAUACUGGUCGGAAUGGUCUACGGAGAAGAUAGAGAGUAUAAACAACAAGUGUUAUGAAGAAGCUUUACUUGUGUCAAAGGAGGUAGUAGCGACGUGCAAUUACUCGUACACUGUGAUGGCAUGUUUGAACAAGCAGUUGGAUCUCGACAAGUCAACUUGAAACUCACAUUUCUAAAAGGAAAUUUCCAAGAAGGUUCGAAGCUUAAUAAUUUCAAUACGAAACAUGUCCAUUUUCGAUACAGAAUUUUUCUUGGAAAUUUCCUAAGCACUUACAUCACUAGUUGAGCUGCAUAUUGAAGAGUAACCGAGUGGAUCGAAACGAGAGUCAAACGUACCUACAUAUUAUUUUUCAUUUUAAAAUCGUUUUAUUUUCAUACUCAAACAUUUUAUAUUGUACAAUGAAGUCAGAAGUGUAUUGUUUGAUAUAACAAAAAUAUUAUACAUAAUAUAUUAUAUAUAAUAUACAAUUAGUUUUUGGCUGUCACACUUUAGGAUUUAAAUGAUAUUUUCCGGUUUCCUUGAUCCGACGACGAUCACCUUGACACGUUUAUGUAUCGAAUAAAAUUGUAAAAAAGCAUCGGAA